AUUGAACGCUGGCGGCAGGCCUAACACAUGCAAGUCGAGCGGAUGAAGGGAGCUUGCUCCUGGAUUCAGCGGCGGACGGGUGAGUAAUGCCUAGGAAUCUGCCUGGUAGUGGAGGAUAACGUCCGUAAACGGGCGCUAAUACCGCAUACGUCCUGAGGGAGAAAGUGGGGGAUCUUCGGACCUCACGCUAUCAGCUGAGCCUAGGUCGGAUUAGCUAGUUGGUGGGGUAAAGGCCUACCAAGGCGACGAUCCGUAACUGGUCUGAGAGGAUGACCAGUCACACUGGAACUGAGACCAGGUCCAAACUCCUAAGGGAAGCAGCAGUGGGGAAUAUUGGACCAUGGGCGAAAGCCUGAUCCAGCCAUGCCGCGUGUGUGAAGAAGGUCUUCGGAUUGUAAAGCACUUUAAGUUGGGAGGAAGGGCAGUAAGUUAAUACCUUGCUGUUUUGACGUUACCAACAGAAUAAGCACCGGCUAACUUCGUG
rnacentral:rRNA from 1 species